rnacentral:rRNA from 1 species
AUUGAACGCUGGCGGCAUGCCUUACACAUGCAAGUCGAACGGCAGCACGGGAGCAAUCCUGGUGGCGAGUGGCGAACGGGUGAGUAAAGUAUCGGAACGUGCCCAGUCGUGGGGGAUAACGUAGCGAAAGUUACGCUAAUACCGCAUACGAGCUAUGGAUGAAAGCGGGGGAUCGCAAGACCUCGCGCGAUUGGAGCGGCCGAGAUCAGAUUAGGUAGUUGGUGGGGUAAAGGCUCACCAAGCCGACGAUCUGUAGCUGGUCUGAGAGGACGACCAGCCACACUGGGACUGAGACACGGCCCAGACUCCUACGGGAGGCAGCAGUGGGGAAUUUUGGACAAUGGGCGAAAGCCUGAUCCAGCCAUGCCGCGUGCAGGAUGAAGGCCUUCGGGUUGUAAACUGCUUUUGUACGGAACGAAAAGGUUUGGGCUAAUAAGCUGAGCUCAUGACGGUACCGUAAGAAUAAGCACCGGCUAACUACGUGCCAGCAGCCGCCGCGG